rnacentral:rRNA from 1 species
UUGCUACCUGACCUAGCGGCGGACGGGUGAGUAAUGCUUAGGAAUCUGCCUAUUAGUGGGGGACAACAUUCCGAAAGAAAUGCUAAUACCGCAUGCGCCCUACGGGGGAAAGCAGGGGAUCUUCGGACCUUGCGCUAAUAGAUGAGCCUAAGUCAGAUUAGCUAGUUGGUGGGGUAAAGGCCUACCAAGGCGACGAUCUGUAGCGGGUCUGAGAGGAUGAUCCGCCACACUGGGACUGAGACACGGCCCAGACUCCUACGGGAGGCAGCAGUGGGGAAUAUUGGACAAUGGGCGAAAGCCUGAUCCAGCCAUGCCGCGUGUGUGAAGAAGGCCUUUUGGUUGUAAAGCACUUUAAGCGAGGAGGAGGCUACCGAGAUUAAUACUCUUGGAUAGUGGACGUUACUCGCAGAAUAAGCACCGGCUAACUCUGUGCCAGCAGCCGCGGUAAUACAGAGGGUGCGAGCGUUAAUCGGAUUUACUGGGCGUAAAGCGUGCGUAGGCGGCUUUUUAAGUCGGAUGUGAAAUCCCUGAGCUUAACUUAGGAAUUGCAUUCGAUACUGGGAAGCUAGAGUAUGGGAGAGGAUGGUAGAAUUCCAGGUGUAGCGGUGAAAUGCGUAGAGAUCUGGAGGAAUACCGAUGGCGAAGGCAGCCAUCUGGCCUAAUACUGACGCUGAGGUACGAAAGCAUGGGGAGCAAACAGGAUUAGAUACCCUGGUAGUCCAUGCCGUAAACGAUGUCUACUAG